GAGACCCAAAUGCUGAGGGGGCGUGACUGGAGCGCGCGUUUCCCAACUCUCUUCCCAUCUCCUGACUCUCACCCUCGCGGGUUUGAGGUCCAAAUCUCGCCUCUGAAGGUGCGAGGAGGCUUCGUGGUCUAAGCUCGAAUUCUGCCGGGUAGCGGACAAGACCGACGUCUGGAGGCUGGAAGGCUCUGCCUGACUGAGCGACUCUCCCGGGCGUGGGUUAUGCGGUCUGCGCGGCUGGGCGGGAGGCCCGAGAUAGGCAAACCGAAGAACACGGCCCACUGCCAGCCUGGAGGAGGUGCCAAAGUCCGACCCCUGAGCGGCACACCCCAGAUGGGGGCGGAGACACCCGUGGAUGACUAGAUAGAAAAGACAUCCAAAGUGUACAGAGUAAAGGAGAGGAAUGAGAGCCAUUAGAGAGAAUAGAAGGAGCUGAACCAUGGGGCCCUUUUCACAGGCCACAGUGGAAAGUUUUGAAUAGCAGAAAACCACAUUUGCAUUUCGUAAAAAAUCACUUUUGGCUGCUAAAGUUAAGAUUAAAAUAGAGACGGCUCAAUGAAGCUGUGGUGGAACUAACCUCAGUCAUCUGGGCAAGAAAGGAUGGAGUUGGAGUGUGAAAUGGGAUGCUGGUGAAGAGGAAGAGAACAGAGCAGACUGCAGAGAAAUGAAGAACAUAAUCAUCAGGCCUUGGUGACCAACUGGAUGUGAAGGAUGGAUAAGGUAGAUUCAAGAAUGAUGCCACUGUUCAGCCUUGGAGAGAGGGAUGAAUAGUGGAGACAUUCACAGAUAUGGAGAAUGCUGGAAGGAAGUCUGGUUUGGAAAAGAACACUGAUUACAAUCUCUGUCUUAGACAAGCUGAAUUUCAGGUACCUUUGAGACGUCUUUGUAGAAUAUUGUGAUGCUGAUUUUGAACGUCACCUUGACUGAAUUAAGACAUACCCCCAAAAAAGUGGUAAAACUUUAUUUAUGUAUAUGUCUAUAAAGUGUUUCCAGAAGAGACUGACAUUUUAAUUACUGGAAAGAAUGAGGAAGAUCUGUCCUCACUCAAUGUGGAUGGGCACCAUCUAAUCAGCUGAGAGGCUGGAUAAAACAAAAAGACAAAGGAAAGAGAAAUUCACUCUCUCUCCUCCAGAACUGAGACAUCAUUUUUUCUCCUGCCUUUGGCAUCAAAAUUCCAGGUUUUCCAGCCUUUUAACUCUGGUAGUUUCAUUAGUGACUCCUCAAUUUCUCAGGACUGCAGCCUCAGACCAGGAAUUACACAAUAACAUUCUCCCUGACUCAAGGCCAAGUCCAAGUCAAAAUAGACUUGACUGAACCACACUACUGGCUUCCUUAGUUCUACAUCUUAUAGAUGGGAUUUCUAUAUGGGAUUUCUCCACCUCCAUAAUUAUGGGUGACAAUUUGCCUAAUAAAUCCCUGUCCUAUAGCUA